rnacentral:ncRNA from 1 species
AUCGCCGACAGAUGGUCCUUCGCCCGCAACGGCGGAGGCUAAGAGGGAAUGCGGUGCGGCGCUUUGGCGUCAAAUCCGCGGCUGUCCCCGCAACUGUAAGCGACGAGCCAAGUCCGGUAACCACUGGGAUAUCCUCCCGGGAAGGCGGUGCGAAGGCGACGACUCGCGAGCCAGGAGACCUGCCGUCUCAAACAUUGAUCCG